UUUAUGGAGAGUUUGAUCCUGGCUCAGGAUGAACGCUGGCGGCGUGCCUAAUACAUGCAAGUCGAGCGAACGGACGAGAAGCUUGCUUCUCUGAUGUUAGCGGCGGACGGGUGAGUAACACGUGGAUAACCUACCUAUAAGACUGGGAUAACUUCGGGAAACCGGAGCUAAUACCGGAUAAUAUUUUGAACCGCAUGGUUCAAAAGUGAAAGACGGUCUUGCUGUCACUUAUAGAUGGAUCCGCGCUGCAUUAGCUAGUUGGUAAGGUAACGGCUUACCAAGGCAACGAUGCAUAGCCGACCUGAGAGGGUGAUCGGCCACACUGGAACUGAGACACGGUCCAGACUCCUACGGGAGGCAGCAGUAGGGAAUCUUCCGCAAUGGGCGAAAGCCUGACGGAGCAACGCCGCGUGAGUGAUGAAGGUCUUCGGAUCGUAAAACUCUGUUAUUAGGGAAGAACAUAUGUGUAAGUAACUG
rnacentral:rRNA from 1 species